ACGGGUGAGUAACACGUAAGUAAUCUGCCUUUAAGACUGGGAUAACCUUGCCAACGCGGGGCUAAUACCGGAUGUGGUCAGUUAGGCGCAUGCUUGAUUGAUUAAAGGAGUGAUCCACUUAAAGAUGAACUUGCGGCCCAUUAGCUUGUUGGCGGGGUAACGGCCCACCAAGGCUGCGAUGGGUAGCCGGCCUGAGAGGGUGUACGGCCACAUUGGGACUGAGAUACGGCCCAGACUCCUACGGGAGGCAGCAGUAGGGAAUUUUGCGCAAUGGACGAAAGUCUGACGCAGCAACGCCGCGUGAGGGAUGAAGGCCUUCGGGUUGUAAACCUCUGUUGAAUGGGAAAAAAGGGUAGCAAUACUUUGAUGGUACCAUUUGAGGAAGCACCGGCUAACUACGUGCCAGCAGCCGCGGUAAUACGUAGGGUGCAAGCGUUGUUCGGAAUCACUGGGCGUAAAGGGAGCGUAGGCGGGAUCGUAAGUUAGGAGUUUAAUACAUGGGCUUAACCCGUGGCUGGCUUUUAAUACUGCGGUUCUUGAGUAUGGGAGAGGGCGAUGGAAUUCCAGGU
rnacentral:rRNA from 1 species